UUUCCGUAGGUGAACCUGCGGAAAGAUCAUUAAAGAAUUUGCCCCGUCCUCUCGAGGAUGGGUCCUCUUCUAAACCGUGUAUACAUACCUUUGUUGCUUUGGCGGGCCGCCGUCUCGGCGUUGGCUUCGGCUGACUGUGCCCGCCAGAGAACCCCAACUCUUCUGUUUAGUAUUGUCUGAGUACUAUAUAAUAGUUAAAACUUUCAACAACGGAUCUCUUGGUUCUG
rnacentral:misc_RNA from 1 species